AGCGAACGCUGGCGGCAGGCUUAACACAUGCAAGUCGAGCGGGCACCUUCGGGUGUCAGCGGCAGACGGGUGAGUAACACGUGGGAACGUACCCUUUGGUUCGGAACAACUCUGGGAAACUGGAGCUAAUACCGGAUACGCCCUUAUGGGGAAAGGUUUACUGCCGAAGGAUCGGCCCGCGUCUGAUUAGCUAGUUGGUGAGGUAACGGCCCACCAAGGCGACGAUCAGUAGCUGGUCUGAGAGGAUGAUCAGCCACACUGGGACUGAGACACGGCCCAGACUCCUACGGGAGGCAGCAGUGGGGAAUAUUGGACAAUGGGCGCAAGCCUGAUCCAGCCAUGCCGCGUGAGUGAUGAAGGCCUUAGGGUUGUAAAGCUCUUUUGUCCGGGACGAUAAUGACGGUACCGGAAGAAUAAGCCCCGGCUAACUUCGUGCCAGCAGCCGCGGU
rnacentral:rRNA from 1 species